rnacentral:rRNA from 1 species
UACGAAGGGUGCAAGCGUUACUCGGAAUUACUGGGCGUAAAGCGUGCGUAGGUGGUGAGUUAAGUCUGUCGUGAAAGCCCCGGGCUCAACCUGGGAAUGGCGAUGGAUACUGGCUCGCUAGAGUGCGGUAGAGGAGAGUGGAAUUCCCGGUGUAGCAGUGAAAUGCGUAGAUAUCAGGAGGAACACCUGUGGCGAAAGCGGCGCACUGGACCACAACUGACGCUGAGACGCGAAAGCGUGGGGAGCAAACAGG